rnacentral:tRNA from 1 species
GUCAAUUUGGCCGAGUGGUCUAAGGCGUUUGACUUGAAAUCAAAUGGGUUCUCCCGCGCAGGUUCAAAUCCUGCAGUUGACG